GGCUCCACCAUGGUGGAGGAGCAGUUUGCGGGCGGAGACCGUGCCCGGGCUUUUGCCCGGGACUUCGCCGCCCACCGCAAGAAGUCGGGGGCUCUGCCAGUGGCCUGGCUUGAACGGGCGAUGCGGUCAGUAGGGCUGGAGGUCUACACGCAGAGUUUCUCCCGGAAACUGCCCUUCCCAGAUGAGACCCACGAGCGCUAUAUGGUGUCGGGCACCAACGUGUACGGCAUCCUGCGGGCCCCGCGUGCUGCCAGCACCGAGUCGCUUGUGCUCACCGUGCCCUGUGGCUCUGACUCUACCAACAGCCAGGCUGUGGGGCUGCUGCUGGCACUGGCUGCCCACUUCCGGGGUGAGUCUCAGGGCUGCUGGCCGUGGAGGGGUUUGGUCAGUGCCCCAGACCCUGCUGAUCCUGCUUCUGGCCUCCAGGGCAGAUUUAUUGGGCCAAAGAUAUCAUCUUCCUGGUAACAGAACAUGACCUUCUGGGCACUGAGGCUUGGCUUGAAGCCUACCACGAUGUCAAUGUCACUGACCUUCUGCCAGAAAGGGGGCCUGUUGUGCACGCUUCAGGGCAAGCUGCAGCCCCAGGACUGGACAUCAUUGGAUGGACCGCUGCAGGGCCUGCAGACACUGCUGCUCAUGGUUCUGCGGCAGGCCUCCGGCCGCCCCCACGGCUCCCAUGGCCUCUUCCUGCGCUACCGUGUGGAGGCCCUAACCCUGCGUGGCAUCAAUAGCUUCCGCCAGUACAAGUAUGACCUGGUGGCAGUGGGCAAGGCUUUGGAGGGCAUGUUCCGCAAGCUCAACCACCUCCUGGAGCGCCUGCACCAGUCCUUCUUCCUCUACUUGC
rnacentral:sRNA from 1 species